AACUUUUGAGAUGAAGCCCAACGAGUUACACAUUGAGAACUCCAGCGUAACAGAUAAAAAAGUCAACGCAACGACUUUCAAUAUCACACUUCAGUAGAUUAGUUGAUCUUUGAUCGGCUUCUGCUUCCAUGUUUUUUCGUUUCUCAGAGAGACAAAAGAAAAUGAUGAGAAUGGCCAUAAUUCCCACCAACGAAGACUACGACAGAGAAAAAGAGAUUAAACAAUUUGACGAAUCAAAAACUGGAGUCAAAGGCCUCGUUGACUCCGGACUCACCUCCAUUCCUCGCUUCUUCAUACAACCAGCGGAAACCCUAUCCGACCUCAAGCCCCCCGUACCCAUCUUAUCUUCUACCCGACCAGAAUCCAACCACCCAAUCCCAAUCAUCGACCUCUCCGGAAGCAAUAACUACGACCGCCGGUCCACCAUCGUCGACCAAAUCAGACGCGCCGCACGUGAAUUCGGGUUCUUCCAGAUCACCAACCACGGAAUCCCAUUGGAGACUCUGGACCGUACGAUCGCCGCCAUCAAAGGAUUUCACGAGCAACCGACGGAGACGAAAGUGCGGUUCUACCGUAGAGAGAUGGGCAUUGAUGUAUCGUACAUCUCCAACGUUGACCUGCACCGUUCCAAGGCGGCGAGCUGGAGGGACACGCUUACGGUGAUACUGGGGCCCAAAGUACUGGAGCCGGAAAAGCUGCCGGAGAUUUGCAGGGACGAGGUGGUGAGUUGGGAUAGGGAAGUGGUGAAGGUGGGAGAGUUGCUGAUGGGUUUAUUGAGCGAAGGGCUGGGAUUGAGUACAGGAAGAUUGAAGGAGAUGACGUGCUUGGAAGGAAGGGUGAUGGUGGGUCAAUAUUAUCCCCACUGCCCUCAGCCUGAUCUGACGGUCGGGCUUACUUCUCAUACUGAUCCCGCAAUUCUGACGGUUCUGAUGCAAGAUCAAACAGGUGGGUUGCAAAUUAAGUCUGGUGGAGCUUGGAUCGAUGUAGAACCAGUCCCCGGAGCUCUUGUUAUUAAUGUUGGAGAUUUCCUUCAGUUCAAACUGAAUGAAAAGCUCUCCACCCAACAUCUCCAAGGUUGACUGUGAUCUCAAGUAAGGCAACGGUGUCAAUUAUCAUAGGCAGCAGUGACGACGACGAUUACAUAGACCAUUAGGAGCCCUCUCCAGACCAUUAGGAGCCCUCUGUUUCCUUUUGCAUCGGCCGGAUUGUAAGUGUGGAGACUGUGCAUUUUGAAGGAGAUGGUGAAGAGGCGACUCAGAGAGAAACCUGCAGGGUUUUAGAGAGCCCUAGGAGCAGAAGUAGAAGCAACAGGUAGGCAACAGCGAAGUAGGAAAGCAUGAGGCUCAUUCGAUCAAUCACUGGCAUUUCUUGCUGAGAGAUAUGUAUGAUGAUAUGAUGCUGGAUGGAGUACAGCCAACUAGGGAUACAUUCCAUUCUGUCAUCGUUGGAACCAUGAAAAGCUCUUGCUUGCAGGAUGCUUUCUACUUUUCUGACCAAAUGAAAUCCAUGGGUUUGGUCCCUGAUGUAUGUAUUUGUAUAUAUAUGCUUCUUCUUCUUUUUUCGUUUUUGUUUUUUUUCACAUGGAUCUGCAUUAAUUUUUAUCUGCUGAAUAUUAGAUUCUUUCAAGAUUGGAAAUUUUGUAUAAAGUUACUUUGUGUUUUUUUUUCUUUUUUUUUUUUUUUACCUAGCUAUUACAAUGUAUUGCUUUAUGUUAUAGGUUACUUUAUACAACAGUUUAGUUUCUUGAUGUAGUGCAGAUGAACUCUGUCACUGUUGACUCGAGGCCAAAGUGCUUGGUUGGCAUUAUUUUUUAUGGUUACCCUUCUUAUUCGAGAAUGUAUGCAGAAGAAACAAGUUACUACUUUUUUCUCUAGGUGAUUGAUGAAAUAGAUGGAGCUCUUGGUGAUGGCAAAGGUGCUAUGGAGGUUAUUCUAAAGAUGGGUUCAUAUAUUUGUUCAACCAACAGUUAAUUGUGUUGUCAGCAGGUGAUCCUUGACUACCAUGGCUGAUGUUUAAUUGCUGUGACAAUUUCAAGCCUUUCCAUUUCUGAUGGGGAACAUUGGGUCAAGUCGGGAUUGAUACCAACAGAGGCUUUUGUAGGAGCUGUAAU